rnacentral:rRNA from 1 species
UACGUAGGGGGCAGGCGUUGUCCGGAAUCAUUGGGCGUAAAGAGCGUGUAGGCGGCCAGGUAGGUCUGCUGUGAAAACUCGAGGCUCAACCUCGAGACGUCGGCGGAAACCAUCUGGCUAGAGUCCGGAAGAGGAGAGUGGAAUUCCUGGUGUAGCGGUGAAAUGCGCAGAUAUCAGGAAGAACACCCGUGGCGAAGGCGGCUCUCUGGGACGGUACUGACGCUGAGACGCGAAAGCGUGGGGAGCGAACAGG